CGUUUAUGUUAUUUCCAAAAUCAAUAUCUCAAUUAACAAAAUCAAACCAUCAUUUUUAAGAGAAAAAAAUUACCAAAACAAGAUUUUAUUAGGCGGCAUAUCCCAGAAUCCCUCAAGAUCGAAAACCCUGCAUUAUAUGCUAGUUGUUUAGUGGGGAACUUUGUGGAACAACUAUGGAGUUUUGCUUGGCCAGCUGCUAUUGCAAUGAUCCAUCCAAGCCUUCUUCCUGUUGCAGUCAUGAGCUUUUUUACUAAGUUAUUCUUGGAGGGCCAUUAGUUGGAAAACUUAUGGAUCAUUACCCCAGAGUACAUGCAUUUAAUUUUCUAAGCUUUAUCCAGUAUUUUAACAAAGCUCUUAAGCUAGCUCAAGGAGAUGGUCGGUUACCUCAGUUCACUCCUGCAGACGAACUGCCCUGUUACCUCAGUUUGUUCCUGCAGACGAACUGCCUUGUUGCUGCAGAAGCUCCAGUUGUUGCUGCUGC